UUUCAUCAACAAAAAUGAAAGCUCAGUACAACCAGGAACCUUAUUCCACAACCCCAUUUCACCAUUUUUUUUUUUUUACAGGGAUAGAAAACCGUUAAAAGUGUUUCAAAGAUGUUUCUCGAAUAUGGGAUUUUUCACCACUCUGCAAGAAAAUAGAAGCAAUCAGAGUGCAGCUUCAUCUUCUCACUCCAAAUCUGACAACACUACUGCAUCUGUAUCCAUGUUCUCUGCCCUUUCAUCUGUCUAAUGGAUGAACCCUCCCUGCUCAUCUGAAGGUCAGCUCCUGUAUUCAGUAGCAAAGCUCAGAAUCCAAAGUGCAUGUUCUUUCCACUGCUGGACCUUUGUGUCUUCAACUGCAAGCCUUCAGGUGUUCCAGAGCACUCCUCAGAUCUUCACAUUGGCAAUGGCCAUUAUAAAUUUUCUUUAAAAGCAAAAUCUCUAAAUUACAAAAAUGAUUCAAGCUGGCUGUUGCGAUCGUAUAAACCAGAGAUGGGUAAAGGAAAAGGCUGAUCUCUUCUGUUCCUCUGCUUCCUCUCCCACACUCCCCUCUCUUUUGCCAGGCUCACCCUCCUGAGGAACCAGGGACAUGUCCAUACAUGCCUUACUAUAAGCUUUUAUAUGUAUAGGUUUUAUUUUGUUUUGCUCUUGUAGAAAAUUAAAUCUUACUAUAAGCAAUAUUUUUCAUCUUUUUUUCUCCAAUAUAUGAUAAACAUCCUUCUAGGCCAGUGCACAAAGUUAUAAUAUGUUCUUUCUAGUGUUAGUAUAAUAAUCAUGAUAUUCUAGAUUACUUGCUAUUUCUGGGUCAGCAAUUUUAGUGGGACUCAACUGGGUAUUUCUUCUGGUCUUGGUUAGACUCCCUCACACAUCUGAGGUCCAGUGUGAUCAGCUGCAGGUCAACUUUGUUGAUCUUAGCUGGGCUCUCUCACAUGUCCAGGGCCUCAGCUGGGUCUGGGCUGACUUGGCUCUGGUCUGCGUGGUCUCUCAUCCUCUAGGAGGCUAGCCUGGGCUUAUCCACGUAGUAAAAGCAGAGGUCUCAAGAGAGCAGGUAGGAGAGUGCAAGGUCUCAUGAGGUGUAAGCUCAGAACUUGCACACUGUCAUUUCUGCCACAUUCUGUUGGCCAAAGCAAAUCACAAAGUCAGCUCAGAUUCAGAGGAUGGGGACAUAGAGUCUACCGCUUCAUGGAAGAGCUGCAAAGUUACAAAGCGCAUGGAUUCAGGGAGGCACAUGCGAUUGUGCCCAUUUUUGCAUUCUAUCACAUAUGGAUGUUCCAUGAUUUGGCCCACCAGUCUUGAUGAGCAUUCAAGUUAUUAAUAUUAAUCUUCUUAAGGGCUUUAGUAAAUAUUGCCACAUUCGCAUUUAAAAAGUUUGCACUAGCUUACAUGUUGAUCAGCAGUGUAUGACAGUGUUUCACCAAUCUCCGUUAUUCCACGAAGGACCUUUCUCCC